UACGUAGGUGGCAAGCGUUGUCCGGAUUUACUGGGCGUAAAGAGCGCGCAGGCGGUCGUUCAAGUCGCGUGUGAAAGCCCCCGGCUCAACUGGGGAGGGUCACGCGAUACUGAUCGACUCGAAGGCAGGAGAGGGUAGUGGAAUUCCCGGUGUAGUGGUGAAAUGCGUAGAUAUCGGGAGGAACACCAGUGGCGAAGGCGGCUUUCUGGCCCGUUCUUGACGCUGAGGCGCGAAAGCUAGGGGAGCAAACGGG
rnacentral:rRNA from 1 species